rnacentral:rRNA from 1 species
UUUCCGGUUGAUCCUGCCGGAGGCCACUGCUAUCGGGGUUCGAUUAAGCCAUGCGAGUCGAGAGGGUUCAGACCCUCGGCGGACUGCUCAGUAACACGUGGAUAACCUGCCCUAAGGUGGAGGAUAACCCCGGGAAACUGGGGAUAAUACUCCAUAGAUUAGAGAUACUGGAAUGUUCUUUAGUCAAAAGUUCCGGCGCCUUAGGAUGGAUCUGCGGUCGAUUAGGUUGUUGUUGGGGUAACGGCCCAACAAGCCUGUAAUCGAUACGGGUUGUGGGAGCAAUAGCCCGGAGAUGGAAUCUGAGACAAGAUUCCGGGCCCUACGGGGCGCAGCAGGCGCGAAAACUUUACAAUGCAGGAAACUGUGAUAAGGGAACCCCGAGUGCCCGUAUACGCGGGCUGUCCAGGUGUUUAAAAGUCAUCUGAAGAAAGGGCCGGGCAAGACCGGUGCCAGCCGCCGCGGUAAUACCGGCGGCUCGAGUGGUGGCCACUAUUAUUGGGCUUAAAGCGUCCGUAGCUGGACUGAUAAGUCUCUUGGGAAAUCCGCCGGCUCAACCGGCGGGCGUCUAAGGGAUACUGUUGGUCUAGGGACCGGGAGAGGUGAGAGGUACUCCGGGGGUAGGAGUGAAAUCCUGUAAUCCCCGGGGGACCACCGAUGGCGAAGGCAUCUCACCAGAACGGCUCCGACAGUGAGGGACGAAAGCUGGGGGAGCAAACCGGAUUAGAUACCCGGGUAGUCCCAGCCGUAAACUAUGCGCGUUAGGUGUGCUGGUGACCACGUGUCACCGGGGUGCCGAAA